UGGAUGAUGUGGUUUAAUUCGAUGCAACGACGAAAACCUUACCCACCUUGACAUGUACGGAACCCUUUAGAGAUAGAGGGGUGCUCGAAAGAGAGCCGUAACACAGGUGCUGCAUGGCUGUCGUCAGCUCGUGUCGUGAGAUGUUGGGUUAAGUCCCGCAACGAGCGCAACCCUUGUCAUUAGUUGCUACAUUCAGUUGGGCACUCUAAUGAGACUGCCGGUGACAAGCCGGAGGAAGGUGGGGGAUGACGUCAAGUCCUCAUGGCCCUUAUAGGUGGGGCUACACACGUCAUACAAUGGCUGGUACAAAGGGUUGCCAACCCGCGAGGGGGAGCCAAUCCCAUAAAGCCAGUCGUAGUCCGGAUCGUAGUCUGCAACUCGACUACGUGAAGUCGGAAUCGCUAGUAAUCGUGGAUCAGAAUGUCACGGUGAAUACGUUCCCGGGUCUU
rnacentral:rRNA from 1 species